CCUACGUGUGGCAGCAGUAGGGAAUAUUGCUCAAUGGGGGAAACCCUGAAGCAGCAACGCCGCGUGGAGGAUGAAGGUUUUCGGAUUGUAAACUCCUUUUGUUAGAGAAGAUAAUGACGGUAUCUAACGAAUAAGCACCGGCUAACUCCGUGCCAGCAGCCGCGGUAAUACGGAGGAUGCGAGCGUUAUCCGGAUUUAUUGGGUUUAAAGGGUGCGCAGGCGGAGGCACAAGUCAGCGGUAAAAUCGCGGGGCUCAACCCCGCUCCGCCGUUGAAACUGUGUCCCUUGAGUGCGCGAAGGGUAGGCGGAAUGCGUGGUGUAGCGGUGAAAUGCAUAGAUAUCACGCAGAACUCCGAUCGCGAAGGCAGCCUACCGGCGCGCAACUGACGCUCAUGCACGAAAGCGUGGGUAUCGAACAGGAUUAGAUACCCGAGUAGUC
rnacentral:rRNA from 1 species